UUUUUGCUAAGAAAAUUUUAUCGAGCUAGAUAACGCGAUGCAAGACAAAUCGUGUAUUACUUUUUCUUAAAACUACCGUAAAUACUCUAUUUGUAGUCGGGGCUAAAAUCCGAAAAUGAGGGUCACAGACCCGGCUAAAAUUUGUCCCACAAAAAUUUUAGAUAUUAUAAAAUUGCGAAUAAUUAAUGUUGACUCGAGUUGAGUUAUUUUAUUUAGCAAAAUAUGACAUAAGUUAAAUAUUGGCAUUACAUUUUAGACGAGGUUUUGUAAUUUUUUUAAAAUUUCUUGUCUUGAUUAUAUGCAUUCUUAUUACGAUCUUAACACAAAAUUCUGUAAAUUUUGAUCCUAUUGGUUGAUUAACCGGAUGUUCAGUUUUUCUAUGAUUGGGUAUGAGCGGGGACACAGCGAAAAAUAUCGGCCAUUAGAGACCAGUAAUAAUUAGGAACUCGGGUAAAAUUUUGGAAAUCUUUGACUUUAGACCUAGAUUUUGGAAUAUGGCUAUAGAGUAUUCACGGUAAAUUAAAAAAUCAGAAAUAUAUAGUAAUGAUAGAGGGCGUUGGUUCCUUGCCCUUGCUACAAUCUGGUGGACUGGAGUACUUGUCAAUUCGCAACUCUUGAACUUGGCACCACUUCUUGGCUGUGCGAUUAAUGGUUGUGAAUCCGCAAACUUUCGUUGUGGACCCGACGGUAUUGUUCCGUCCUGCAAUCACACCCAAAUGCGACAACCGGCAAAACAAAUGCGACUCCACUCCCUGCGGCAACCUUGAACGAGCAGAGUGUAUCCUGAACAAGUAUGGCACCCAUUGCAAAUGUAUUUCGCUGAUAACUUCAACUUACUGCAAUACUGUAAACACGUCAUGCAGCUUGCCGUAUGUUAAUCAAGAAGAUAUCCAACACUUUCGCGAAAUUUGCCAGAAUCUGGGUCAAGGAUAUUUUGCUGAAACGUGCCGUCGAAAUGGUGAAUGUCGAUGUGACAAUACCUCACCUGUUUGCGAAUCUCGAGUGUAUGACACACCGGUUGGAAUACAAGUUCCCGAGUAUUGGGGUAGUACGUGACAAAAGCAAUACGCAAUCGAUAAUGCAACUGUUUAAACGGAAAAAUUAUAUAAACUGUUUUUACUUUUACAAGUUAAUUGUUUCUUUAUUUAUUCUAAAAUUGUUUCAAUUUAUUUAGGAAAUAUUUUCCACGUGCGUAGCUAGUAAUUAUUUCCUAAUAGUUGCAAUUAGUUAAGACUAUGUUGAAAGCUAUAAUUCUAUAAAUUCUAAAAACUAUUUAAGAAAAUUCAAUAAUAAUAAGAUUGUUCAGUAAAAAA